ensembl:lncRNA
GGGGCCUUCAGCGCUCCUGUGUCCUCCUCACCGCCCCGUGCUCGUGGGGCUCCGGCCACGCUCAGCUCCGCCCCCACUGCUGGCCCCGCCCCUGCCUGUGACCUUGGGUAGAUCAUCUCAAGGACAACACGGGACCCACUCAGCGCUCCAGCUUGUUCAAAAUGCGUUGUAGAGCAGCAGAGAGAACUCGCAACAUCAGCAACGCGCUUGGCCCAGGAGCUGCCAGUGCAGGGGUGUGUCAGGAAGUUUGGCGAAGGAGAUGAGAGUCUUGGCAAGGAGCGCGGUGGCUGGCCGUCGGAAGCGGACAACGGCCGACUGAGAGCCAACGUCGAGGCUGAUCCUCCUACAACUGCACGAGAAGCUGGCCACUCUGGUCUCCGGGCAUUCGAAGCACGUUGAAAAGAAAAACAUUGCUCGAUCGGAUCCUGGUGUGACAUCAUCGUUUUGAAGUAUCGUCUUCUCUUACUCUACAAAACACCAAAAAACAUUGCUCAAUGGGAUCCUGAUGUGCAACAAAAUGUGGAUUUUAUGGCAACUGGUGGCAACCAGCUCAGCGGUUGGAUGGAGAAGAAGCUCCAAAGCGCUUCCCAAAGCCAAACUUGCACCAAAAAAGGUCAUGGUCACCGUUUGGUGGUCUGCUGCCCAUCUGAUCCCCUACAGCUCUCUGAAUCCCAGGGAAACAUUACAUCUGAGAAGUGCGCUCAGUAAACCAAUGAGAUGCACUGAAACCUGCGAUGCCUGCAGCAGGCAUUCGUCAGCAGCGGGGCGCAGUCCUUUCCCACGACUGCCUGCCCCACGUGGCACAGCCAACGCUUCAGAAGCUGAGCGAAUCGGGCUGCGAAGUUCUGCCUCAUCCACCAUAUUCACAUGACCUCCCGCCAACCGACUACCACUUCUUCAAGCACCGCGACCACUUUUUGCAGGGAAAACACUUCUGCGACCAGCAGGAGGCAGACGAUGCUUUCCUAGAGUUCAUCAGGUCUCCAGGCACGGAUUUGUACACUACAGGAAUAAACAAACUUACUUCUUCUUGGCAAGAAUGUGUUGAUUAUAAUGGUUCCUAUUUUGAUUAAUAAAGAUAUGUUUGGGCCUAAUUACAGUGAUUUAAAAUUCACGGUCUGAAACCACAGGUAGGCUUGAACCAACCUGGACAGAAGAGCUGCCAGACCAAGUCCAGGCUCCACUCUGACCCCCAGUCUCGUCGUCUGCAAAGCAGAGAAGACACUGACUCUCCAUGCAGCAACCCCCUCGGAAAGCGGAUCCCUUCCUGGAAGGGGUCGGGACACACACUCCUUCUCCUCCCAGGACCCCCAGCUUGCUCCUGGACCAGCAUUAGAGAGGAAGGGAGGGUUUAGAGCAAGGAGACUGCUUGUAGGUUACAGUUCUGCAUAAUGUCGGUAUGCAUUCGUCCAAAUCCACAGGACGUCCAACACCAGGAGUGAACUGUGAUGUAAGCCAUGGGCUUUGGGUGAUGAAGACAUGUCAGUGGAGGCUCACCAGUUGUAAGAAAUAUCCCAUCUGGAGGCGGAUGUUAGUGGGAUAGUGGGGGAGGCUGGGCAUGCAGGUGGAGGCGUACAUGGGAAUUGUGUGCACCUUCCACUCGAUUUUGUCUUAAACCUAAAAUUGCUCUAAAAAGUAAAGUCUUAAUUACAAAAAAGAGGAUGAAGAGGAGGAGGAGGAGGGAGACUGGCAGGGCAGGUGGGUGCACCAUCCCCAGCCUCUCCCCGCCCAGGAGGC